UACGUAGGGUGCAAGCGUUGUCCGGAAUUAUUGGGCGUAAAGAGCUCGUAGGCGGUCUGCCGCGUCGGCUGUGAAAACUUGGGGCUCAACCCCAAGCCUGCAGUCGAUACGGGCAGACUAGAGUGCGGUAGGGGAGACUGGAAUUCCUGGUGUAGCGGUGAAAUGCGCAGAUAUCAGGAGGAACACCGGUGGCGAAGGCGGGUCUCUGGGCCGUAACUGACGCUGAGGAGCGAAAGCGUGGGGAGCGAACAGG
rnacentral:rRNA from 1 species